rnacentral:rRNA from 2 species
AAAAGAAACUAACAAGGAUUCCCCUAGUAACUGCGAGUGAAGCGGGAAAAGCUCAAAUUUAAAAUCUGGCAGUCUUUGGCUGUCCGAGUUGUAAUCUAGAGAAGUGUUAUCCGUGCUGGACCGUGUAUAAGUCUCCUGGAAUGGAGCGUCAUAGAGGGUGAGAAUCCCGUCUUUGACAUGGACUCCCAGUACAUUGUGAUACGCUCUCAAAGAGUCGAGUUGUUUGGGAAUGCAGCUCAAAAUGGGUGGUAAAUUCCAUCUAAAGCUAAAUAUUGGCGAGAGACCGAUAGCGAACAAGUACCGUGAGGGAAAGAUGAAAAGAACUUUGGAAAGAGAGUUAAACAGUACGUGAAAUUGUUGAAAGGGAAACGCUUGAAGUCAGUCGCACUGUCCAGGGAUCAACUUAACUCUUUUGUUGAGUGUACUUUCUGGUUAGUGGGUCAGCAUCAAUUUUGACCAUUGGAAAAAGGCUAAGGGAAUGUGGCACCUUUUGGUGUGUUAUAGCCCUAGUUGUAUACAAUGGUUGGGAUUGAGGAACUCAGCACGCCGCAAGGCCGGGUUUUUAACCACGUUCGUGCUUAGGAUGCUGGCAUAAUGGCUUUAAUCGACC